GUCUAUGGCCAUGCCACCCUGAACGUGCCCAAUCUUGUCUGAUCUCGGAAGCUAAGCAGGGUCAGGCCUGGUUAGUACUUGGAUGGGAGACCACCUAGGAAGACCAGGUGCUGUAGAUG
rnacentral:rRNA from 1 species